CGAGAGUGAGCUGCAGGGGGAUGACGGAGACUUUUCUCCUACUAAUACUGCAGCGAGUGCUCUUCAGGCCGGGCAAGAGAUGGCUGAGGAGGAUGAUUUAGAUCCUCAACCUCGUCAGCCAUCCUGCCCCGUGUACGCAGAGUUGGUGGAAGUUAUGGAGCGCGCCACUGACAAACUUCAGUUGCCAUGGCGGCGCGCUCAGGGAGAGAUCGUUCGCGGUCGUUUGGAUGAUCGGUUUCUCCCUGAACAUAGACCACCAGCUCAGCAGAGCCUUCCAUUCCUUCCUGAUCUCCAUUCAGAGAUCGAGAGGGCAUGGAAGAAACCGUACUCUGCCCGUAUUCCUCGACAUCAGCGGGGUAACUUCAAUGAUGUUGAGGGGAUAGGUGAGUACGGUUAUGUGUCGAUGCCGCCCGUUGACGAGACGUUUGCGAACUAUCUCGUUUCUGGGCGGGUGUCGACACUAAAAGCUCAGACUCUGCCAUCCAAGCCCCUUAAAACCACGGCUCGCUUGAAUGGCAGAGCGUACACGGCAGCAGGUCAGGCUGGUGCUGCCCUUCAUACCAUGGCAGUGCUCCAAGCCUACCAAGCUGACCUGCUGCAGGAUCUCGACCAGGGGGCAGGGCUGUCCCCUGAGGCGGUCGCUGAGUUGCGCCGGACCACAGAUUUGUCCCUCCGGGCCACUAAACAGACUGCUGCCGCGAUCGGCCGAUCGAUGGCGGCGAUGGUGGCCACAGAGAGGCAUCUGUGGCUCAACUUGGCUGAUAUCGGGGAGAAAGAAAAGUCCCUUCUCCUUGAUUCACCAGUUUCGCCUGCUAAACUUUUUGGCACCUCCGUUGAGGCGGUGGUUGGGAAGUUUAGGGAGGCGAAGGCGCGCUCGGCUGCAUUUAAGACCUGUAUACCGCUGAGAUCCGGGCCCCAGCCCAGGCAGGCGGGAGGACCUGGUCCGUCUUGGUCUGAGGACCGUAGGCAGGACCAGAGGUCUAGUGUCGCCUCUCGUGCCCCCCCUCCAUGGAGGAGUAGGACACAGAGGAGGCGAGCCUCCCGCAAAAAGAGGGACUUAAGGAAG
rnacentral:lncRNA from 1 species